rnacentral:rRNA from 1 species
UACGUAGGGUGCGAGCGUUUUCGGGAAUUAUUGGGCGUAAAGGGUGCGUAGGCGGUUUGGUAAGUCUUGUGUGAAAUCUCCAGGCUCAACUUGGAGUCUGCACGAGAAACUGCCGGGCUUGAGUGUGGGAGAGGUGAGUGGAAUUCCUGGUGUAGCGGUGAAAUGCGUAGAUAUCAGGAGGAACACCUGUGGCGAAAGCGGCUCACUGGACCACAACUGACGCUGAUGCACGAAAGCUAGGGGAGCAAACAGG